AGUGAACGCUGGCGGUAGGCCUAACACAUGCAAGUCGAACGGCGGCACAGUAAGAGCUUGCUCUUACGGGUGGCGAGUGGCGGACGGGUGAGGAAUACAUCGGAAUCUACUUUUUCGUGGGGGAUAACGUAGGGAAACUUACGCUAAUACCGCAUACGACCUACGGGUGAAAGCAGGGGAUCUUCGGACCUUGCGCGAUUGAAUGAGCCGAUGUCGGAUUAGCUAGUUGGCGGGGUAAAGGCCCACCAAGGCGACGAUCCGUAGCUGGUCUGAGAGGAUGAUCAGCCACACUGGAACUGAGACACGGUCCAGACUCCUACGGGAGGCAGCAGUGGGGAAUAUUGGACAAUGGGCGCAAGCCUGAUCCAGCCAUACCGCGUGGGUGAAGAAGGCCUUCGGGUUGUAAAGCCCUUUUGUUGGGAAAGAAAAGCAGCAGGUUAAUACCCCGCUGUUCUGACGGUACCCAAAGAACAAGCACCGGCUAACUUCGUG
rnacentral:rRNA from 1 species